GCAUCGAGAAAAUUUGAUGUUGAGGCGCUUUUGUAGUCCCACGACGUCACCACGUUUGCAAACACCCUCGGACAAGCGAGCCAAUUCGCUAUCGUUCUGAGGAUGUUAUUUUCCCGUUGUCGGUGCGCUCGUUUGACCUCGUGGCGAACAUUUAUGCAGCGCCGAGUGCAGCGUUAUUUUACCGGGUUUUCGUUCCUUCCCCUCCUACAAAGGGCGUCGUUCCGUCUCUGUCGUGAAUCACUAUAGGUGAGUCAUCCGCGUUGUGCUUCCGGGUUUGACUGCAAUGCGGAUCGAAGAGUCGGGUAGAAAUGUGUGACCGUUUCCUUCAUGUCGAGUAAGGCCGUUUGCGUAUUAAGAAAGCUCGCCUUUUCGAUAGCGCAUUCGGUAGUCGAUGAAAGAAUUACCUGCCUCAACGCUGCAUCCUUUUUUUUUUACUGAAAGUUUAGCACAGUCCAGAUAAGAAUAAAUGUCAUUCAUUCCUUUGAAUCGCUUCUUCUUGAGUGUUCAUUAAGGGUCUUUGCGAUGGUACUGUCCAAAACACAAGUGACAUUUCGUCGGUCAUUGCUUCCUGCGCCCACUGUUUCCUGACGUUCGAAGGGAUAGACAUCCGCUCCGAACAUGAAUCGAGAUAACCCAUCCGAUGGAAAGAUUGUCUGUCGUAUUGGCUAAAACGUACGAGCCAUGUUAUUCUCAUUAAACGCGGAUUUAUAUUUUUGAUUCCUCACUAAAUGUCGCCAAAAUGACAUUUGGCGCCCCACGCGGCAAAAACAGGAAGAUGCAUAAGCGACCUAUCACGUGACCUUCUACUAGUGCACGCGGUUCCUGAUCUUUUUUAUUAGUAUUGGAAAUGCAGUACAAUUUCUUCUAAGCUUUUUCUAACUUAAAUGUGCAGUUAACCCUUUGGUCUGUAGUGAGUAGAAAAGCGCCGCUGCCUUCGCUUGAUGUUUUCGAUGGGUUGGCUCGGCUCGUCUAUCGACAGAAUAACGACGCCAGUGGCGAGCGAGCAAUGACGUAUACGUGUACUUCGGGGAAAACGCAUUGCCAAUACCAGAAAGUUUGCUGCACUCGAUAAAUGAAACUAUCACAGACUAUAUCUCGAGCUCGACGUCUCCAGAAGACGAGCCAGCGCUAGACCGCUCGAGCGAAACGGCAAACCAAAGACUCGCCAUGAAACGCCCCAUGGUGAUUUCGAUGGAAAACUCGACGCGGGCCGAUCUUGGAGCCAGUGUGCUCGAUGGCCUGAUAAACUUGAUAAUCCUGAUAAACCAGUGCACGGUAUGUGUCACUAAAAGUAUUCCGGAAUAUCCAAGAUUGAAAAAAAA